CGCCAGCCUCGGCCUCGGCCUCCCAAAGAGAUGGGAUUACAGGCGUGAGCCACAAGGAAGGAUGGAGAUAUGAGGCACAAGAACUACAAAUUCCCUCAGAAGGGAAGUGUGACUCUUGAUAUUUUGAAAACCAUAAUUUAUUUAUCGAAGAGAAACUACAGCUUGUAAGAUGUCAUCUUAAGGGAGACCAUCUUCCAUGUGAUAAAUUGUUGGCCCCAGGGAGAAACGUUUGCUGGGACUGAUGGGCGUAUAAUAAUACACACCCAGUGAGUGCGUGAGAUUCAUGGAGAAGGACGUUUGCCAUGACCCCUGAACCAGCCCAGACAGCUGACGGAGGCAACUUGAGGUGGAGAGAGAGAGAGAAGAAAAGUUGAAGUGACAAAGAGCACUUUCUCUACAGGGAGAGUCAAGAAGAACCAGAAAAAUUUAAACUUCAAAAAUUCUGGACUUGCUUUUAAAGGCUUUCUGUUUUUUAUUUGCAUAGUGAUGAAGAAAAAAGAAUUUGGGUGUGUAUAUUUGAGUUCCAGCUAGGGAUUCUCACAGCCUCCCUAUCCAUGUCAUCAUCUGUAUCCACAUCACCUCUGUUUACAUCCAUACCCUU